CAUUCUGAUAAGGUUGACCAUAUGUUAGACAAAUUUCAAAGAUAGUUGCUAUGGUAAUUAAGUUUAUAGGAUAUCUGAAUGUAAUGGGAUGGUCACUUUUGUGGUUAUUUCCUGUUGUGUAUUUGUAAGAAAGCAGUAAAACGAAGAAAACAAAAAGAGAAAAUCAUAUCAUCUGAGGUUCAAAGAAAAAGAAAGUAACAUGUCAGGUAUUUGAGUACUACAGAAGACAAAAUAAAUCAGAGUGCAAAAGAAAUAAUACAGAGCUUGGAAUAAUAGAAAUUAUUGACAACAUCCUGGCUAGAAAAUGCAAGGGAAUGGAGAUGGGAAAAAAUGCAUUCUACCAUUUGAUAGCCCAGAAUGAAUAACUUUAAGAAAAGGUACAUGUAGUGAAAUAACUUUUAUGAAGAUAUUUUAAACUGGAUAUUAAAAGGAUUUAACAUAAGACGGAGCCAGAAAUAGUGACAAAACAAAGUGUAGCAGAAAACAAAAGGAACACUCUUGUGAAUAAAAACCAUGUUGGAAUACAGAACUAGAAAAAUAGCUGUAUAAAAUGAAAUUAUCAAUGCCUUCAAACAGAGCUUGGAUAUUGCAACAUAAACUGUAAUGAUAUUAUACAAA